AGGAUGCAAAAUUUAUUGCACGAGAACAGUGGUUUGUGGCUGGGAAUCGUCAUGGUUUCAUUCAUGUGUUCAGUUAUAAUACAAAGGAGGAAACCAAAAGUUUUAAAGCUCGUGACUUCAGUGUCAUUUGUUUGGACAUCUAUCCAACUAUGCCAUACAUGUCAGCAGGCCAUGACCAUCUGAUUAAGCUGUGGAACUGGGGGAAAGACUGGAAAUGUGUUGGGAAAAUUGAUGUGCAGAUACAGUCAGCAGGCCAUAACAAUCUGAUCAAUCUUAUGCGCCAAGUCAAGUUUAACCCAAAGGAUGCCAAUAAUUUUGCUUGUGCUUACAUAGAUGGAUUCUUACAGAUUGGAGGGCAUACUAAACUUUGGGCUCGGAAUGGUUAGUGCCAUAGCAUGUUUGAAGGGUACAGGAAGGACAGGCUGGAGAUGAGAAAGACAAUGGUAGUGCACGCCACUUGAUAAAAUUCUGGAUGAGUUCCAAAUUUGGGGUUCGGUGCCUAUCUGUGCUUCUACCCAAUGCCGGGUUUAUGUUAUUGAAUUCAUAUUUGAAGUAAAGGAAAGAGUAAAUUGCACCCAUCAUACAACAACUUAUCAGGUGGAUGCUGAUUGGUCCAACAACUUUUGCAGAUUGAGCCAACAACUUGUAAAAUGCUCAGUCUAAUACAAUAACUUGACAGGUGGGUGCAGAUUGAUCAAACAACUUGUAAAUAUUCAAUUUAGUGCCACAACUUGAUAAAUUGGUGUAUUCGCAAGAGAAAUAUUAUAAGGAAAAAGUGUAUUUUCAUCCCUCAAGUAUUGUAAAAGUGUGACAUUCAUCCCUCAUGUUUAGUUACUUAAGGGGUUGAUGUUCACCAAAUGAAACAUGAGGGAUGAAUAUUACACUUUUGCAAUAUUUGAGGGAUGAAAAAACACUUUUUUAUAUGAUAACAAGCAACAACUUGUCAGGUGGGUGCAGAUUGGUCCAACAAUUUGUAAAAUGCUCAAUUUAAUACAAUAAUUUAACAGGUGGGUGCAUGUUGGUCCAACAACUUAUAAAAUACUUAAUUUUCAAUAAUAACUUCGCAAUUUGGUGCACUUACAGUCCGAACGUUACAAUGAUAACGUGUUAAGCAAAAUAGAUGGACAUGCGAAUUUUCUUUCAGUCAAUAAUUCUUUAUUUUCUUUAAUAAAAGUUGUUGAUCAUGAUCAGUCUAUUCCUUCUUAACUUAUUUGUUUAUUAGUAAAAAUUGAAUAAUAUUUGAGAAUUAGGCCAUUGGCAUUACCGAAAGACUAAAGUACAAAAUAGGGAUCUUGAGACCAUAGGUUUUUUUCUGCACUUCUUCUUAUGUAUUCAACAUUUGUAUACAAGCAUGUUUGUCAAUAUUCAUUUAGGUCAUUUUUCCUUUCUAAACAAGUACACGAGGCUUUAAAAUUUUUAUGCCAAACUUCUAAAAGGUAUUGUUAGUAUGUAUUAAUAUGUAGGUUCUUUUGUGUAGCUGAAAAAUGCAUAUAAUAAAACAUGUAGAAAACAGUCAGGUGAACUUAUCAAUAUUGAAUAUGGAAUUAAAUAGUCCUAAUCAAGAUUAAAUCAUUGUAUAAAAACAAUUAAUAUGAAGACAUAAUAUUAAUUUUCUAAAUACUAAAGGUUCUAUCUCGGCUAAACACAUUACCAUUGCGAAGUGAAUAUCAAUGGUCGAAUAAUGCUCAAUAAUUUGUUCAGAUGCGAAUAUAUACCUGACCAACUAUUAGCAAAAAUGUUGCUUGUUAUAAUAUUCAUCUUGCAGAUGCACUAAUUUAUCAAGUUGUUGUACUAAAUUGAAUAUUUUACAAGUUGUUGGACCAAUCCGCACCCAGUUGUCAAGUUAUCAUAUAAGACUGAGCAUUUUACAAGUAGUUGGAUCAAUCAACAACCAUUGUCAAGUUAUUGUAUUAGACCGAGCAUGUUACACGUUGUUGGACUAAUCUGCACCCACCUAAUAAGUUGCUAAA